UGAGCGGUAGUUCAGUUGGUUAGCUUCUUUUGAAUAGAAAGUGGCCUGUCACGCGUGCCGAAGGCACACGGGUUCGAGUCCCGUCCGCUCCGCCA
rnacentral:tRNA from 1 species